AGUGAACGCUGGCGGUAGGCCUAACACAUGCAAGUCGAACGGCAGCACAGUAAGAGCUUGCUCUUACGGGUGGCGAGUGGAGGACGGGUGAGGAAUACAUCGGAAUCUACUUUUUCGUGGGGGAUAACGUAGGGAAACUUACGCUAAUACCGCAUACGACCUACGGGUGAAAGCAGGGGAUCUUCGGACCUUGCGCGAUUGAAUGAGCCGAUGUCGGAUUAGCUAGUUGGCGGGGUAAAGGCCCACCAAGGCGACGAUCCGUAGCUGGUCUGAGAGGAUGAUCAGCCACACUGGAACUGAGACACGGUCCAGACUCCUACGGGAGGCACCAGUGGGGAAUAUUGGACAAUGGGCGCAAGACUGAUCCAGCCAUACCGCGUGGGUGAAGAAGGCCUUCGGGUUGUAAAGCCCUUUUGUUGGGAAAGAAAAGCAGCAGGUUAAUACCCCGCUGUUCUGACGGUACCCAAAGAAUAAGCACCGGCUAACUUCGUG
rnacentral:rRNA from 1 species